rnacentral:rRNA from 1 species
GGGUGACGGGCGGUGUGUGCGCAUUCUAGAGCUUUUUUCAUAACGUAUUUCUGUACGUUAUUACUAUCGAAUCCUUUUUCAUUAACAUUUUCGGUGGAAAAUCCUCGGUUGUAAAGUAGAGUAGCUCAUCUAUCCCCACCUCAUUAGCUGCACCUUGAUCUGACGUUUAGGCGUAAACCUCUUAGCUCACUUUCUAAAAGAGGUGAGCUGACGGCGAUGGUAUACAGGCUGGUUGGGUUUCUAGAGGUGGUGAGGUUCCUCGUGGGUUAUCAAUUCGAUGACAAGCUCCUCCGAAUAGGGUUAGAAAACCGCCAAGUCCUUUAAGUUUCAACUUUUUAGUUGUACUACUCUGGUGUUUCUUUGUUUACGUAGAAGUAUAGUGGGGUA